UUGGAUGCUUUGCCCACACACUCAACCUGGCAGCACAGAAGGUGUAUGGCAUCCAAGCUGUGACCAGGUGGUGUGCAAAGAUCCGUGCAGUGGUGGUGUGGUUGAAGCGCUCCACCAUGAGCAAAACUGUUUUGAGAGAGAAGCAACGACUCCUCAAUUUGCCAGAGCAUAAUGUUAUCCUUGAUGUGAGGACUCGCUGGAAUUCUCUGUACAUCAUGGUUGAGCGGUUUGUGGAGCAGUUCCCUGCAAUCCAGGCAGCUUGCCUCGAUCACAGGCUGAGGAAGCCAAUGGAGAGGGACAGCUUCCACUAGAGGACCAUCAUCAGAGUGAGGCAGAAGUAGGUGGUGAUGGUGAGGUGGAGCAAGAGGACAC